GACGAACGCUGGCGGCGCGCCUAACACAUGCAAGUCGAACGGAGUCACGAGGAGCUUGCUUUUCUUGACUUAGUGGCGAACGGGUGAGUAACGCGUGAGUAACUUUCCCUGGAGUGGGGGACAACAGUUGGAAACGACUGCUAAUACCGCAUAAUCCCACGGAUCUGCAUGUAUCUGCGUGAAAAGGAUUUGUUCUCUCUAGGUUGGAAGCGCGUCCAAUUAGCUAGUUGGUUAGGUAACGGCCCACCAAGGCGACGAUUGGUAGCCGGACUGAGAGGUUGAACGGAGACAUUGGGAGUGAGCCACGGCCCAGACUCCUACGGGAGGCGGCAGUGGUGGAUAUUGCACAGUGGGGGAAACGCUGAGGCAGCGAGGCCGCGUGGAGGAAGAAGGUUUUCGAAUUGUAAUCUCCUGGCGAUAGGGACGAUAAUGACGGUACCUAACUAGAAAGCACCAGCUAACUACGUG
rnacentral:rRNA from 1 species